rnacentral:rRNA from 1 species
CGGUUUUCUUAAGUUUUGAUUUUAAAAGGCUCCCGGCUCAACCCGGGGAGGGUCCAUUGGAAAUUGGGAGACUUGAGUGCAGGAGAGGAGAGUGGAAUUUCCAUGUGUAGCCGGUGAAAUGGGUAGAUAUAUGGAGGAACACCAGUGGCGAAGGCGGCUCUUUGGUUCUGUUAACUGACGCUGAGGCUCGAAAGGGUGGGGAGCAAACAGGAAUUAGAUACCCUGGUAGUCCACGCCGUAAACGAUGAGUGGUAAGUGUUGGAGGGUGUCCGCCUUUCAGUGCUGCAGCAAACGCAUUAAGCACUCCGCCUGGGGAGUACGACCGCAAGGUUGAAACUCAAAGGAAUUGACGGGGGCCCGCACAAGCGGUGGAGCAUGUGGUUUAAUUUGAAGCAACGCGAAGAACCUUACCAGGUCUUGACAUCCUUUGACCACUCUAGAGAUAGAGCUUUCCCUUCGGGGACAAAGUGACAGGUGGUGCAUGGUUGUCGUCAGCUCGUGUCGUGAGAUGUUGGGUUAAGUCCCGCAACGAGCGCAACCCUUAUUGUUAGUUGCCAUCAUUUAGUUGGGCACUCUAGCGAGACUGCCGGUGACAAACCGGAGGAAGGUGGGGAUGACGUCAAAUCAUCAUGCCCCUUAUGACCUGGGCUACACACGUGCUACAAUGGGAAGUACAACGAGUCGCUAGACCGCGAGGUCAUGCAAAUCUCUUAAAGCUUCUCUCAGUUCGGAUUGCAGGCUGCAACUCGAGUGCGUGAAGCCGGAAUCGCUAGUAAUCGCGGAUCAGCACGCAGCGGUGAAUACGUUCCCGGGCCUUGUACACACUGCCCGUUAUUUCUCGCGAUCCUUCUACCAAAGGAACCGGCUUGAUCACCUUCUUACAAGGAGCUGCGCCCGUCUGAGGUGG